UACGUAGGGACCGAGCGUUGUCCGGAAUCAUUGGGCGUAAAGAGCAUGUAGGCGGCUAUUUAAGUCCUGCGUGAAAUCCUGCGGCUCAACCGCAGACGGUCGUGGGAAACUGGAUGGCUAGAGUGCGGGAGAGGAGAGUGUAAUUCCCGGUGUAGCGGUGAAAUGCGCAGAUAUCGGGAAGAACACCCGUGGCGAAGGCGGCUCUCUGGAACGCAACUGACGCUGAGACGCGAAAGCGUGGGGAGCAAACAGG
rnacentral:rRNA from 1 species